rnacentral:tRNA from 1 species
GGGCUUGAAGCAUUAAGGUGAUGCAAGCGGCUUUUAACCGCUAGAAGACGGGUCAGUACCGUCCGGGCCCACCA